rnacentral:rRNA from 1 species
CCUACGGGCGGCAGCAGUGAGGAAUAUUGGUCAAUGGACGAGAGUCUGAACCAGCCAAGUAGCGUGAAGGAUGACUGCCCUAUGGGUUGUAAACUUCUUUUAUAUGGGAAUAAAACGUUCCACGUGUGGGAUUUUGUAUGUACCAUAUGAAUAAGGAUCGGCUAACUCCGUGCCAGCAGCCGCGGUAAUACGGAGGAUCCGAGCGUUAGCCGGAUUUAUUGGGUUUAAAGGGAGCGUAGGUGGAUUGUUAAGUCAGUUGUGAAAGUUUGCGGCUCAACCGUAAAAUUGCAGUUGAAACUGGCAGUCUUGAGUACAGUAGAGGUGGGCGGAAUUCGUGGUGUAGCGGUGAAAUGCUUAGAUAUCACGAAGAACUCCGAUUGCGAAGGCAGUUCACUGGACUGCAACUGACACUGAGACUCGAAAGUGUGGGUAUCAAACAGGAUUAGAUACCCGAGUAGUC